GAUCUUCUCUAAAGAGCACUUCAAGGUGAAACAUGACGUUGAUGAGGCGCACCACGCCUGUGAUAGUUGGUCCGUCCUGUCUUCCCCUGUUUGUCACCAUCUUCCGAGUGAACAACACUGUUUUAUACCCAAUUGGUGUGAGGUGGGCUGACAUGCACCACCCGGCUGUCAAGGUUCACCAGGAAGAACACGUUAAAUUCGGCAUCUGUCGAGGACGUGUUGAAGGUCCACCUGGGCUCCGUCUUCAUGCCCCAUGGCCUGGGACACCUGCUGGGGCUUGAUGUGCAUGCAUGUCACCGAGCCUGGAUGGGCCGCCUGGUCCAGGAGUGGAUGGUUCUCACUGUGGACCCCGGCAUUUACUUAAUCAACCACCGGCUGGACCAGGYCCUGGCUGAUCCCACCCAGAGCUGCUUCAUCGACAAUCAAGAGCUGGCUCGAUUUUGAGGGCUCACUUUAUUUUGUCGGUCUUUUGGUUUGAUUCAACCGGGACACAAGGAUAGAUGUUAACUGCAUAAAUUCUAAACAAGUAUCAUUAUAAACUGAUGUUGGGAUUGUUUGGUGUAAGUGUCUACAGAUGUAGUUUAGUGACAAAUUUAAAUUUGUUGCAAUGUAGUGAGGAAAAAAAGAUAAAUUCUACUUUUUGAUGCAUAUUUUGCAUUGAAUGAUUGAGCUCAUUUGUAGUUCGAUUGCAUUUUUGAUUCACUAAGCUCAUUAAAUAAAUGUCUACUGAGAUUGAUUUUGUUGAAUGCCUUCUAAUCAUAAUGUCACUGUUGUGUGUAGACGAGGACGACAUCGCCAUGAUGGCUGAUGGUAUGGAGCACGAUGGAGGAACUCAACACAUUUAUGGCCGACUCUGCCAAAGCUUUCAGCCCAUUUCUCAGUAACUGAUGGCAAAUAUCCAGGCUGUAUGCUGCAGUGUCACAGCUACUCUUCAUGAAAAUGUAUACUUUAAAGAUUAUUUUUAUACUGCAUUCGAAUACAGCUUUCAAAGUAAUGCGACUAUUCUCACAAAUACAAGAAAUAUAUUUUUCAAGGGAAGGGAACAAACUUUAUCGUCCUUUAAAUAAAAUGAAAUGUCAUUUUUCAACCA